rnacentral:rRNA from 1 species
AACGAACGCUGGCGGCAGGCCUAACACAUGCAAGUCGAGCGCCCCGCAAGGGGAGCGGCGGACGGGUGAGUAACGCGUGGGAACGUGCCCUUUGCUACGGAAUAGCCCCGGGAAACUGGGAGUAAUACCGUAUAAGCCCUACGGGGGAAAGAUUUAUCGGCAAAGGAUCGGCCCGCGUUGGAUUAGGUAGUUGGUGGGGUAAUGGCCUACCAAGCCGACGAUCCAUAGCUGGUUUGAGAGGAUGAUCAGCCACACUGGGACUGAGUCACGGCCCAGACUCCUACGGGAGGCAGCAGUGGGGAAUCUUAGACAAUGGGCGCAAGCCUGAUCUAGCCAUGCCGCGUGGGCGGUGAAGGCCUUAGGGUUGUAAAGCUCUUUCGUGGGGGAAGAUAAUGACUGUACCCCAAGAAGAAGCCCCGGCUAACUCCGUGCCAGCCGCCGCCGUAAAAC